rnacentral:rRNA from 1 species
AGUGAACGCUGGCGGCAGGCCUAACACAUGCAAGUCGAACGGCAGCACGGCAGUAGCAAUACUGUGGGUGGCGAGUGGCGGACGGGUGAGGAAUACAUCGGGAUCUACCCUGUUGUGGGGGAUAACGUAGGGAAACUUACGCUAAUACCGCAUAAGAACUGAGGUUGAAAGCGGCGGACCGCAAGGCGUCGCGCGAUUGGAUGAACCGAUGUCCGAUUAGCUAGUUGGCGGGGUAAAGGCCCACCAAGGCGACGAUCGGUAGCUGGUCUGAGAGGACGACCAGCCACACUGGAACUGAGACACGGUCCAGACUCCUACGGGAGGCAGCAGUGGGGAAUAUUGGACAAUGGGCGCAAGCCUGAUCCAGCCAUGCCGCGUGGGUGAAGAAGGCCUCGG